CCUACGGGAGGCAGCAGUGAGGAAUAUUGGUCAAUGGGCUAAGGCCUGAACCAGCCAAGUCGCGUGAGGGAAGACGGUCCUCUGGAUUGUAAACCUCUUUUGUCGGGGAGCAACGAGGCCACGUGUGGCCGCAGUGAGAGUACCCGAAGAAAAAGCAACGGCUAGCUCGGUGCCAGCCGACGCGGUACUACGGAGGAUGCGAGGGUUAUCCGGAUUUAUGGGGUUAAAGGGGUGCGUAGCCGGAACAUUAAGUCAGCGUUAAAAUCGAGGGGCUCAACCCCUUUAAGCCGUUGAAACUGGUGAUCUUGAGUGGGCGAGAGGAAUGCGGAAUGCGUGGUGUAGCAGUGAAAUGCAUAGAUAUCUCGAAGAACACCAAUUGCGAAGGCGGCAUACCGGCGCCCAACUGACGCUGAGGCACGAAAGCGUGGGUAUCGAACAGGAUUAGAUACCCUAGUAGUC
rnacentral:rRNA from 1 species